CGAACUUCUUCUCAGAUUUAACGUAUUUGCGGUGGAUGAACAAACAGUACAAUCAAGUAUCAAAAAUUAUAAGAUGAGAUGGCCUGAUGAAUGCUGUCAGCACACAGUUUUGAAGAGAUUAUUGCUUAAAUAUCAGAAUGUCGUCACAAUGGUGGAUGCUUCACAGAUAUGUAUAUGAAGUUAAGGGUUGAAAGACAUCAUUUAAGAUGCAGUUGAAAUAAAUUGGCUGGCCAACUAUUUUAAAUAAUAUGAAGACGAUAGGAGGUCAGAAUAACAACUUAUUUGGACUGUUAAGCGAUUUACAAUAUUAUUGCCCUGUUGCUCCUGGUUGAUUUGAUGUUAGAAAAAUUAUUCAAUUUAUGGCACAAAAACAAUAUAAAAAUAUUAACAAUGAAUUAUUAUAAAAUAAUUAUAUAGUUUCGCAGAGAGACAGAAAAUUACACGCAGUACCAAUGUCAUGGAAUGUUAACAAUUAGAAAGAUUACAUAUCCUGUAGAAGUCAGAUUGCAAUGAAAUAUAAAAUGGAAUACAAAAAAUUCAUAUUUUUAAUUUA